rnacentral:rRNA from 1 species
GAUGAACGCUCGCGGCAGGCUUAAUACAUGCAAGUCGAGGGGCAGCAGGACUGUAGCAAUACAGUUGCUGGCGACCGGCAAACGGGUGCGGAACACGUACGCAACCUACCCAAAACUGGGGGAUAGCCCGGGGAAACCCGGAUUAAUACCUCGUAACCUUUUUAAGUGGCAUCACUUGAUAAGUAUAGCUCCGGCGGUUUUGGAUGGGCGUGCGCCUGAUUAGGUAGUUGGUGCGGGUAACGGCCCACCAAGCCUGCGAUCAGUAACUGGUGUGAGAGCACGACCAGUCACACGGGAACUGGGACACGGGCCCGACUCCUACGGGAGGCAGCAGUAAGGAAUAUUGGUCAAUGGACGCAAGUCUGAACCAGCCAUGCCGCGUGAAGGAUGAAGGUCCUCUGGAUUGUAAACUUCUUUUAUGGGGGACGAAACCCGGAUAUUCUUAUCCGAUUGACGGUACCUCAGGAAUAAGCACCGGCUAACUCCGUG